AUUGAACGCUGGCGGCAGGCCUAACACAUGCAAGUCGAACGGUAACAGGAAGAAGCUUGCUUCUUUGCUGACGAGUGGCGGACGGGUAAGUAAUGUCUGGGAAACUGCCUGAUGGAGGGGGAUUACUACUGGAAACGGUAGCUAAUACCUCAUAACUUCUCAAGACCAAAGAGGGGGACCUUCGGGCCUCUUGCCAUCGGAUGUGCCCAGAUGGGAUUCGCUAGUAGGUGGGGUAACGGCUCACCUAGGCGACGAUCCCUAGCUGGUCUGAGAGGAUGACAAGCCACACUGGAACUGAGACACGGUCCAGACGCCUACGGGAGGCAGCAGUGGGGAAUAUUGCACAAUGGGCGCAAGCCUGAUGCAGCCAUGCCGCGUGUAUGAAGAAGGCCUUCGGGUUGUAAAGUACUUUCAGCGGGGAGGAAGGGAGUAAAGUUAAUACCUUUGCUCAUUGACGUUACCCGCAGAAGAAGCACCGGCUAACUCCGUG
rnacentral:rRNA from 1 species